GAAUCGGUGCUUCUUUAAUUGUUAGGUAGAUCAACGUUCUUAUUGUGCUCCACAUUAUGCGCAAUCAUGUGAAGAUUUUGGAGAUGAGUUGUAGGAGUACUUGUUAUUUGGAGUCCAAUGUUGGUACUUGAUUAAAAUGAGAGAUCGUCCGCCUUGGUCGGAUCAUAUUCUUGAGGACAAGUUGCCAUUUGCAUUGUUAUCAACCGUGAAGGUCAGAUAUUUGGUUCUUUAAAAAGAUCGUCCACCGUGGUAUGAGUUCAGACAUUGAAGGUCGAUGGCAGCUCUUUGUCAUUUGUUUACUCGACAGAGUCGAGUUUUUCUUCCACCCUGGGAGAAUUGAUGCGGACAUCACUUAUAUUAUUAUCGCACUAUUUUACUUUUUCCAGUUAUUGGGUUUGUAUUAUUGGUUUGGUCCAAGCCCAUCAUUGGUAAGGUUAUGCUUUUACUAUUUAUAUGAUUUUCAGUUGNNNNNNNNNNNNNNAGUUAUUGGGUUUGUAUUAUUGGUUUGGUCCAAGCCCAUCAUUGGUAAGGUUAUGCUUUUACUAUUUAUAUGAUUUUCAGUUGUAAUUUCAGUAGACGAUGAUAAAUU
rnacentral:lncRNA from 1 species